rnacentral:rRNA from 1 species
GAUGAACGCUGGCGGCGUGCCUAAUACAUGCAAGUCGAACGCUUCUUUUUCCACCGGAGCUUGCUCCACCGGAAAAAGAGGAGUGGCGAACGGGUGAGUAACACGUGGGUAACCUGCCCAUCAGAAGGGGAUAACACUUGGAAACAGGUGCUAAUACCGUAUAACAAUCGAAACCGCAUGGUUUUGAUUUGAAAGGCGCUUUCGGGUGUCGCUGAUGGAUGGACCCGCGGUGCAUUAGCUAGUUGGUGAGGUAACGGCUCACCAAGGCCACGAUGCAUAGCCAGCCGGAGAGGGCGAGCGGCCACAUUGGGACUGAGAAACGGCCCAAACUCCUACGGGAGGCAGCAGUAGGGAAUCUUCGGCAAUGGACGAAAGUCUGACCGAGCAACGCCGCGUGAGUGAAGAAGGUUUUCGGAUCGUAAAACUCUGUUGUUAGAGAAGAACAAGGAUGAGAGUAACUGUUCAUCCCUUGACGGUAUCUAACCAGAAAGCCACGGCUAACUACGUGCCAGCCGCCGCGGUAA